ensembl:misc_RNA Metazoa_SRP Metazoan signal recognition particle RNA
GCCGGGUGCGGUGGCUCACGCCUGUAAUCCCAGCACUUUGGGAGGCUGAGGUGGGUGGAUCACCUGAGGUCGGGAGUUCAAGACCAGCCUGACCAACAUGGAGAAACCCCAUCUCUA